AGUCAUGUGUAUGUAAUAAGGCCUCCAUAAAAACCGAAGAGGAUGGGGUUUGCAGAGCUUCUAGGCUGGUGAGCACUUGGAUGUGCUGGAGGCAUCCAGAGGGUGGAGCACGUGGAGAGGGCAUGAAUGCUCAGUGCACCUUCCCUCAUACCUUGCCUUAUACAGCGUUUCCAUCUGGCUGCUGUUGAGUUUUAUUCUUUAUAACAAUAUGCUAACCCUAAGCAAAGUUUUCCUGAGUUCUGUGAGCCAUUCUAGCAAAUGGUGGAACCUGAGAAAGGGGACAUGGGAAUCUCUGACUUACAGCCAGUCAGCCCGAAGCACAGGGAUACCAAAAUCAUCAUACCAGAGACAUGAAUCUCCCUCAUUUGGCAUCCCAGGAGGCCUGGAUCAGUUUCACUGUGAAUGCUCCGCCGCUCAACCACACAAGCACCCUUCCUCCAGGCCCAGGGGAUACUGCAGAAGAGGUUCUGG
rnacentral:lncRNA from 1 species